CCUACGGGGUGCAGCAGUGAGGAAUAUUGGUCAAUGGGCGCGAGCCUGAACCAGCCAAGUAGCGUGAAGGAUGACUGCCCUACGGGUUGUAAACUUCUUUUAUAAAGGAAUAAAGUGAGGCACGUGUGCCUUUUUGUAUGUACUUUAUGAAUAAGGAUCGGCUAACUCCGUGCCAGCAGCCGCGGUAAUACGGAGGAUCCGAGCGUUAUCCGGAUUUAUUAGGUUUAAAGGGAGCGUAGAUGGGUUGUUAAGUCAGUUGUGAAAGUUUGCGGCUCAACCGUAAAAUUGCAAUUGAUACUGGCUGUCUUGAGUACAGUUGAGGUAGGCGGAAUUCGUGGUGUAGCGGUGAAAUGCUUAGAUAUCACGAAGAACUCCGAUUGCGAAGGCAGCUUACUAAACUGCCACUGACAUUGAUGCUCGAAAGUGUGGGUAUCAAACAGGAUUAGAUACCCUUGUAGUC
rnacentral:rRNA from 1 species